CCUACCGUUGGCAGCAGUUGGGAAUCUUAGACAAUGCAGCAAGCCUGAUCUAGCACAACCGGCGCAAGCAUGAACCCCCUACGCUUUUAAAGUUCUUAAUCCCUGGGGAAAGUAAACCUCUUUUAUAUCCGAGGAGAAUGACGGUACCGGAAGAAUAAGCACCGCUAUUUCCG
rnacentral:rRNA from 1 species